rnacentral:lncRNA from 1 species
CAGAGACCCGCUGAAAGGUCACCCCAGAAUGGCUGUGUUGGGAGGGGCUUGCUUAGCAGUGUGGGUCCUGAACUGUGAUCUUUAACUCUCCACUUUGGGGGGUAAAAGCAAGAGUAAAGAAUUCCAAAGGAGCCCCAAAUUCAGAUUUUUGGAAUGAUAAUAUAACCAGAAGUUUUUUUUUUCCUCUCUCUGAAUUACUGUAAACAGCAAGGAGACACAGCCCAUGCAGUUCUUUUAAAUAAGCAGUGAGAAGCCCCUGUGUCUUCCUGGAGGUUUGUAAGCAGAUGUUGCUGAGCCUGCAUCAGACUGGGUUUCUACAUCAUUUAAUCACUUGUCUUGACAUAUCACUUCCGGACACUGCUUGAACCUGUGCAGAAUGAGUUGAGGAGUUUUUUCUGCUACAAAUCCAAGUCCUUGCACAGGCUGAUUUGUUGUACUUAUGAACUAUAUUCCAUGGUAUGUUCCCUUUAUUGUCAACUUCAUACAAGCUAGAGUUAUCAGGAAAGAGGAAAACCUCAAAUGAGAAAAUUCUUCCAUCUGCUUGACCCAUAGGUUCCCGCCUUGAGUUCCUGUCCUGACUUCCCUUCACGAUAGUCUGAAAGCUGUAAGAUCAAAUAAACCCUUUCCUGAGUUGAUUUUGGUCCUGGUCUUCAUUCAGAUCAAUACAAACCUUAGAUGCCACAUACCAGCAUGUGAUGAAGACCAGGGGUCCUCUAAGAAGACCAUGAGCUGGGAUUGCCCAAUCUUAAAGUUUUGUCCUCCAAAACUAUCAAGAUGCAGAACUCUCAGCUACUUGUCCAGCACCAUGUCUGCCUGCAUGCCGCCAGGUUUUCCACCAUGACAAGAAUGGACUAAAUCUCUGAACUGUAUGCCAGCCUCAGUUAAGUGUUUUCCUUUUUAAGAGUUGCCAUAGUCCACUGCGGCCGUCCUCCAAGCCCCAGCCAGAGUUCUGCCCUACUGCAAGGAACUCAG